UACGUAGGGACCAAGCGUUGUUCGGAUUUACUGGGCGUAAGGGCGCGUAGGCGGCGUGGUAAGUCACUUGUGAAAUCCUCUGAGCUUAACUCAGAACGGCCAAGUGAUACUGCUGUGCUCGAGUGUGGAAGGGGCAAUCGGAAUUCUUGGUGUAGCGGUGAAAUGCGUAGAUAUCAAGAGGAACACCCUGAGGUGAAGACGGGUUGCUGGGCCAACACUGACGCUGAGGCGCGAAAGCCAGGGGAGCAAACGGG
rnacentral:rRNA from 1 species